UAGCCUGCCGUUGAUAUAAAGUAUUGAAAGGCUGCGGUAUUUUAACUGUACGAAGGUAGCAUAAUAAUUUGUCUUUUAAUUGAAGGCUUGCAUGAAUGGUUGGAUGAAAAAUAUUCUUUAUUUAUUUAAUUAAUUUAAAUUUAAUUUUUUAUUUAAAAAGAUAAAAUGAAUUUAUAGGACGAGAAGACCCUAUAGAAGUUAACUAAUCUUAUAAUUUAAAAUUUCUUGUUUUUAAUUUUUUUUUUAGAAGGAUGAGUUUUGUUGGGGUGACAUUAAAAUUUUAUUAACUUUUAAUUUUUAUUUCAUUUAUUUAUGUUUAUUUUGAUCCAAUUUUAUUGAUUAAAAGAUUCACUUACUUUAGGGAUAACAGCGAAAUUUUUUUU
rnacentral:rRNA from 1 species